ACAGGCGUGAGCCACUGUGCCUGGCAGCACCUUUUCUUUAUGGACGUAGAUUUUGGUAUUUCCUUUACCAAAGGGAAGAUAGGUGGGACUUUUGGUUAUAUGCUUUGCUUUAGGCUUGAAGAAUAGUUGCUCUAAAGAUUUUAUUUUGUGAAAGACCCAAGGUUGAAAUGAGUUGGAUUCAUUGGAAUCCAUUACUUUUCCAGGGAAUACGAUUUUAAAUGAAAAGCUGAGCAUCCUCUCUUUCAAUAUCUGCCCUCACAGUGUGCCUGAGUUGCAUUUACACUUAGAGUGACAAAUGAGACCCGGGUGUGUGUGUGGUUGGAAGGCUGUGCUCACGCAGUGUGAGAUCAGCCCCUGGGUGGUGAGUGCUCACUGGACUGGCAUGCACGAGCUUGUAGUGGCAGAGACAAGUGAAAGCAUGUCAUUUCUGCACGGAUCCCAGUGGUGGCGGAUAGGUGUUUGGCGUUAGAACAGGCAAAAACACCUGUUUUCCAAUCUGUAAUGAAAGAACUGUGUAAUAACGUGCAGUUUGUACAAUUACCAGUGUCUCUACCAUAGUGAUCAGAUUACAUUUGUUGCCACACAUCUUGAUCAGGGAAGUGGAGUAUGAAUAAGCCAGAGAGGAAAUAUUUAGCAGUGACCACUGUCAAGCUGGAAAGACCUAUAGAGCUUCCAUUCUGUCCCUUUGCUUCAGGAUGGGGAAGGGAGGCCACUCCACCGAUGUGUGGUGCUGUGAGGACCUUUCUGAAAUUGGGCAAAGAGCUCAGCACUUUGAGUCCAUGAGAAAUAAAACUGACCAGACGUUAAGUAGCAGGUGAGGACCAUAGUGAAAGAUCCUGCAGACUCUCCCAUGGAUUUCUGCAGAUGGGUGAGUUGUGCCUUCAAGGCACCACGUCUUACAGAGAUCCUCUGAGAAAGGCGGAGCAGCAUAUGCCUAGGAUGAUGCAGAAAUUGACAUGUGCCUUCCUGAUAAGUGUUCUGAAAUAAAGCACUAAAUAGCAGUAGACCAGAUUGGCAGACUCAAUCAGAUGGGCUUAGAGAUAACAAUUCCAGAAUAGUAUCCGCAAGGGACAGGGCACCAGGUGAACUGGCCGCGUAAUCCAUGUGUCUGGUUGUUCAUUGAAUUUAAGAAACACAGUGGAGGCUGGGUGCAGUGGCUCACACCUAUAAUCCCAGCACUUUGGGAGGCCAAGGUGGGUGGAUCACCUGAGGUCAGGAGUUCAAGACCAGCCUGGCCAAUGUGGCAAAACCCCGUCGCUACUAAAAACAGAAAUUAGCUGGGUUUGGUGGCACGUGCCUGCACUUCCAGCUACUCGGGAGGCUGAGGCAGGAGAAUUGCUUGAACCUGGGAGGUGGAGGUUGCAGUGAGCUGAGAUCACGCCACUGCACUCCAGCCUGGCGACAGAGUGAGACUCCGACUCAAAAAAAAAAAAAGAGAAACAGUGGAAUCUCGUAAUAAAAGCCAUCACUGCUACAGCUGUGGAAAAUGGGAAUACUCGGUCAUGUUUUCUGGACAGUUUUUGAUGGUCUCCGUCUUCCCUGGAAUUGACAGGCCUCGUGCAUUGUGCGUCAGCAGCAAUGUUUAUGGUGAAAAAUGGCAACGGGACCGCGUGCAUAAUGGCCAACUUCUCUGCUGCCUUCUCAGUGAACUAUGACACCAAGAGUGGCCCUAAGAACAUGACCUUUGACCUUCCAUCAGAUGCCACAGUAGUGCUCAACAGCAGCUCCUGUGGAAAAGAGAACACUUCCAACCCCAGUCUCGUGAUUGCUUUUGGAAGAGGACAUACACUCACUCUCAAUUUCACGAGAAAUGCAACACGUUACAGCGUCCAGCUCAUGAGUUUUGUUUAUAACUUGUCAGACACACACCUUUUCCCCAAUGCAAGCUCCAAAGAAAUCAAGACUGUGGAAUCUAUAACUGACAUCAGGGCAGAUAUAGAUAAAAAAUACAGAUGUGUUAGUGGCACCCAGGUCCACAUGAACAACGUGACUGUAACGCUCCACGAUGCCACCAUCCAGGCGUACCUUUCCAACAGCAGCUUCAGCAAAGGAGAGACACGCUGUGAGCAAGACAGGCCUUCCCCAACCACAGCGCCCCCUGCGCCACCCAGCCCCUCGCCCUCACCCGUGCCCGAGAGCCCCUCUGUGGACAAGUACAACGUGAGCGGCACCAAUGGGACCUGCCUGCUGGCCAGCAUGGGGCUGCAGCUGAACCUCACCUACGAGAGGAAGGACAACACGACGGUGACAAGGCUUCUCAAUAUCAACCCCAACAAGACCUCGGCCAGCGGGAGCUGCGGCGCCCACCUGGUGACUCUGGAGCUGCACAGCGAGGGCAUCACCGUCCUGCUCUUCCAGUUCGGGAUGGUGAGGCUGGGGCGGCGCCUCUCUGAGGGCGCCCACUGUGUCUCCACCACGUCUUUUUGUGCCCUGGGUCUGCUCAUGGGAGGCAGCGUUAGGAAGGAGGCUGCCUCACUUUUUUCUGCCUUCCCUUUAUCCUGGGCUUUUUAGUUCCUUGGUUCCCCUCCCCCUUUUCCAUUCCAUUCACAGAUGUGGCAGAUGAUGUGGGUGGGGCUGCCGUGCCACAGUUGGAGUGGCUGCAGGGGAGGGAUGCAGGAGGAGGGUCUGCUGCUGUGAGGCCGCACGGCCUUCUGGCUUCAGAUGCUGCUGCCCUGUGGCUCCGUGGUGGCAUUUCUGCCUGGGAGGACUCCUGUGCAGUUAGCAAUAUAAGACAUGAAGCAUAUAAUUGUCACUUGUCAAUCUUUUUAAAUCGCUGUGCAAAUGAAUUAACAGUUCAGUUUCUUAUAAUUUUAGCUUUCCAAAUCAUGCUUUCCUGUGUCAUGAUAGCUCCUGCAGUCCCCGUUUUCCAGAGACUCUGACUCUCUCAAGAGGUCUGGAAGGACCAGCCUGGGCAGCACAGGGAGGCUCCGUUUCUGCAGAUAAUAAAACGAGUUAGCUGGGCGUAGUGGCGCACACCUGUGGUCCCAGCUACUUGGGAGGCUGAGGUGGGAGGAUCGCUUGAGCCCAGGAGUUGAGGUUGCAAUGAGCCGUGAUCACUCCACUGCACUCCAGCCUGGGUGACAGAGCAAGACUCUCAGAGAAAGGUCUGGAAGGAACUAACUAAAAUUUUUAUUCCCCAGAGAUACACAAUGCCUUUUAUAGACAAGAUAUUUUGCAGUUUUGUUCUAAUACUAGAAAUGUAGGAAGUCAGGUUUAUUACCAAAUGACUGUUCAAGUUUGAUGAUAAAUGUGUGAAUCCACCAAGUGGUUAAAGAUCAUCUUUCUAUGAAUCUGCUCAGUGAUUAAAGAUCAUUUUUCUUUUUAAGAAUGCAAGUUCUAGCCGGUUUUUCCUACAAGGAAUCCAGUUGAAUACAACUCUUCCCGACGCCAGAGGUGAGAACCCACAAUCUCUGCGAGCCCCCGCCCCCCAGGGUACUCUGGAGUCAUUGGACUUCUCUGUGUGUUGCAGACCCUGCCUUUAAAGCUGCCAACGGCUCCCUGAGAGCGCUGCAGGCCGCCGUCGGCAAUUCCUACAAGUGCAACGCCGAGGAGCAUGUCCGCGUCACGAAGGCGUUUUCAGUCAAUAUAUUCAAAGUGUGGGUCCAGGCUUUCAAGGUGGAAGGUGGCCAGUUUGGCUCUGGUGAGUGUCACCGAGGGCAGCUGUCGCGGGGUGUGGAGGAUGUGCUUCAGACUCUGCCUGUGGACAUUUAGUCGCUUCUGUGUGGGCUGGGGCGACGCCCCUGUUCCUCUGCAAGGAGCUGUUUCUUCUUCCCGGUCUGAGAUUCUGGAGGAAACUCCCCCUGCUUUAGAGAGGCCCAGCGUGUCUCUCAGCUGGGAGCCCCUGGUACCAUUUGAGAGUAAGGGAAUCAUUUUAAGAAACAGUGGUGGCGCUUCUCCCAUGAAAGUUGAAUACAACACUGUCAUCUGAUGUGCCCAGAGGCCCUGGACGCAGCACAGCUGUCCGGCCACAGCCCCUGAUUCCAGACGGGAGAAACGUGUGUGGUUUCCUCGCCGUGCAGAGAGCACCAGUCUCUGCAGCGGCUUCCCCAAGUGACAAUUCCAGCUAGACCUGGAACCUUCCACCAGGGUUCCUCUUUGCCUUUUGGCUGAUGUGGGGGAGUGGUGGGGAGAGAGGCCUGUUUGCAGGCCCCUGUGUGAGUGGAGCCCUGACGCCAUCCGUCUGUCUUGGCAGUGGAGGAGUGUCUGCUGGACGAGAACAACAUGCUGAUCCCCAUCGCUGUGGGUGGUGCCCUGGCGGGGCUGGUCCUCAUCGUCCUCAUCGCCUACCUCGUCGGCAGGAAGAGGAGUCAUGCCGGCUACCAGACGAUCUAGCCUGGUGCGCGCAGGCACAGCAGCUGCAGGGGCCUCUGUUCCUUUCCCUGGGCUUAGGGUCCUGUCGAGGGGGAGGCACACUUUCUGGCAAACAUUUCUCAAAUCUGCUUCAUCCAAUGUGAAGUUCAUCUUGCAGCAUUUACUAUGCACAACAGAGUAACUAUUGAAAUGACGGUGUUAAUUUUGCUAACUGGGUUAAAUAUUUUGCUAACUGGUUAAACAUUAAUAUUUACCAAAGUAGAAUUUUGAGGGUGGGGGUGCUGCUCUCUCUGAGGGGGUGGGGGUGCCGCUCUAAAUUGGCUCCACUGUCAUUUGACUUUAGGGUUCUGGUGUUUGGUUUCUUCAUUCUUUACUGCACUCAGAUUUAAGCCUUACAAAGGGAAAGCCUCCGGCCGUCACACGUAGGACGCAUGAAGGUCACUUGUCGUGAGGCUGACAUGCUCACACAUUACAACAGUAGAGAGGGAAAAUCCUAAGACAGAGGAACUCCAGAGAUGAGUGUCUGGAGCGCUUCAGUUCAGCUUUAAAGGCCAGGACAGGCCUGGCCACACGCAGCUGGUGGCCUCGCUCCAGUGGCGGCACGUCCUUGGGCGUCUCUAAUGCUCUGCAGCUCAAGGGCUGGCACUUUUUUAAAUAUAAAAAUGGGUGUUAUUUUUAUUUUUUUUUGUAAAGUGAUUUUUGGUCUUCUGUUGACAUUCGGGGUGAUCCUGUUCUGCGCUGUGUACAAUGUGAGAUAGGUGCGUUCUCCUGAUAUUUCGCCGUGGCUUGGGGAUUGUACACAGGACCAGCUCACGUAAUGCAUUGCCUGUAACAAUGUAAUAAAUAAAAAGCCUCUUUCUUUUUUGU
rnacentral:sRNA from 1 species